GACGGAGGAUGCAAGCGUUAUCCGGAAUUACUGGGCGUAAAGGGCGCGUAGGCGGGAUGGCAAGUCGGUCGUGAAAUCCCUCGGCUCAACCGAGGAACGUCGAUCGAUACUGCUGUUCUUGAGGAUUGCAGAGGAGACUGGAAUUCCCGGUGUAGCGGUGAAAUGUGUAGAGAUCGGGAGGAACACCGGUGGCGAAGGCGGGUCUCUGGGCAAUUCCUGACGCUGAGGCGCGAAAGCGUGGGGAGCAGACGGG
rnacentral:rRNA from 1 species